AACGAACGCUGGCGGCAUGCCUAACACAUGCAAGUCGAACGAUUGCCUUCGGGUGAUAGUGGCGCACGGGUGCGUAACGCGUGGGAAUCUGCCCUUAGGUUCGGAAUAACAGCUGGAAACGGCUGCUAAUACCGGAUGAUAUCGCGAGAUCAAAGAUUUAUCGCCUGAGGAUGAGCCCGCGUUGGAUUAGGUAGUUGGUGGGGUAAAGGCCUACCAAGCCGACGAUCCAUAGCUGGUCUGAGAGGAUGAUCAGCCACACUGGGACUGAGACACGGCCCAGACUCCUACGGGAGGCAGCAGUGGGGAAUAUUGGACAAUGGGCGCAAGCCUGAUCCAGCAAUGCCGCGUGAGUGAUGAAGGCCCUAGGGUUGUAAAGCUCUUUUACCCGGGAAGAUAAUGACUGUACCGGGAGAAUAGGCCCCGGCUAACUCCGUG
rnacentral:rRNA from 1 species